rnacentral:misc_RNA from 1 species
GGGUCAGAGAAUAAGAUGCAGUUAAAAAACAGUUGAUUAUCUGCCAUGCAUAGCCAACAGCAUGAAAAGACAGAUCAGUAAUCCCUCCAGAAAUUGCUGAAAUGAUCAUUAAGAACAGAGCCGCCCAUACUCUGCUGUCGUGGAGCUUACUGAAUAGAUACAUUUCACCAAGGGCAGUUAUCACAUUAGUAACAUUCUUCAGGACUGUGACCAUAGCAACAUUAAUGUAUUUCAAACUAAACAUGCUUGUAACCAGCAUUCCAACAAAUAUAACAUUCACAGGCAACCAGACCUUAAUCAAUU